GCCGUCGAAUCACCGAUUCAAGAAAAGACGCUAGAACACGUUGGAGGAACUCCUGAAGUGCCCACCUGGAAAAGCCAAUGAAGAACGCCACCACCUCUUGGAUCACGAGGUCGGUCCCUUUCCAAGAAUAGCGUCACAGAGAGCACCCCUUCUUUGAAGUCUGCCACCGUUCACAGUUCCUCAACCUAGCAGGCUCCCCAAUGAGAAGGUAGCCAAGAUCGAGCUAAAACUCAAUUUCAACAAAACACUCGCUCACAACGAAAACCAAACAGUCGAAGAAAAAUAGCGAUUAAAGUUGCAGCAAGCUCGAUUAGCAAAAAGAAAAUAAAACCGGAAACCACCACAAGAACUUAAAGCAAAAAGAAGACAAAAGUGUAAUAAAGUCAAAAUAAAAGCAAGAACGAAAAAAUCAGCCAAUAAAAUUACUAAAAAACUGCUUUACAACCGUCUUAACUAUAAAAACUAUAAAACAUAAAACAUACACUAAUGUAAUUAAAGAAAACAUAAGGAAUCAUGCAAGAAAGACAAAUUUCACCGCCUGGAUGUUGCAUCUCCCAAGAACAGCCAUGGCGUGACACCUUUCACGGCCAACGGAUCAGAAUGCCACCGACACGAUCAUUUCCUUCAUAAUGCAUCACUGCAACAAGAGUCGAUUUUCAAUGCAAAAUAAAGACCACCACCGUCUAAGUAUUCCUUAAUAAAAAAUUCAGACGGACACACGCAAAGCCACCACCAAAUCGAGCCACAAAACACGAAGGUGGAAAACAAGAACACAAAUCGCCCAAAUCUUUAGAGCAAAAAGGUAAUCAUUUUAC
rnacentral:lncRNA from 1 species